GGGCCCAGUCGCGUCGGGCCUCCCGAGGGGGCUGCGAGUGUCAGUCGGCUCUCCGCACGUGUCCGCGGCCUCGCGGAGCAGUCCACCCCUGGCUGGUUUCUGCUUCCACCUGCUGAUCUCACAGAGCUUGAUUUUGACACAAAGCAAGAUACUGAACAUUAACACCACCACAGAGGCCUACUAUGUGCUCCUGUCCCUGUUGUUACUUCCUCCAAAGUGUUGGAGGAGGGGCCUUGUGGAAGGUGAUUGAAUCACGGGGACGGACUUUCCUGUUGCUGCUCUUGUGAUGGAUUUCUCACAAGAUCUGGUUGUUUGAAAGUGUGUAGCACCUGCCACUUCACUCCCUCUCUCUCCUCCUGGCCAUGUGAAGACUGUGCCUGCUUCCUCUUUGUCUUCCACCAUGAUUGUAAGUUUCCUGAGGUCUCCCCAGGAGCAGAAGCCUAUACAUCCUGCAGAACUGCAAGCUAAUUAAAUCUGUUUUCUUUAUAAAUUACCCAGUCCCAGCACUGCAAGCUAUUUGGCAUAUGAAGGUCUUGACCUGAGAAAACCAUCUUGGAUAACUGCAGCAAGGAAAAGGAAAAAUGCAACACCUAGGAGAUUUCAGUAAACAGUAGAAUCAUGCCAACCUAAUCUGUGUUAAAAUGCUUGGAAUGUGGGAGCCGCUGAUGAUGCCUCUUGUCUGUGUGUCUGACUGAAUCCUUUCUUUUCUCAGAGCAGCAAAGCAAAGCCUGGGAACCAGGCCAAAUGCCUGCCACUUACCUUAAAUUGAUCAGCCACUUUGAGAUUAAAACCCCUGAAAGCUGCCACACCGUGAAAACAAGGCCUCCUUCACAUUAAAGGCAAAUUGCGACUUUG
rnacentral:lncRNA from 10 species